UAGGGAAUCUUCCACAAUGGGCGAAAGCCUGAUGGAGCAACGCCGCGUGUGUGAUGAAGGGUUUCGGCUCGUAAAACACUGUUGUAAGAGAAGAAUGACAUUGAGAGUAACUGUUCAAUGUGUGACGGUAUUUAACCAGAAAGCCACGGCUAACUACGUGCAG
rnacentral:rRNA from 1 species